GUAUUAAACUCACAAAGCAGCAUAUAAGGUAUAUGUUUACUAGAAGGGUCUCUAAAAUGCUCUUCUGCCAGGAGCCUUCCUGAAAUUUAAGUCCUUAGUCAAAGGAGUGAGUGCAUAAAUACUUCAAUCUGGUUAUUUUUCAGUAGGAGGCUUACACAUGCAUCUGUUAGCGACAAUUGAUAAGAUGCUGCUUUAGAUAAAGUUAGGAGAGAGUGUGCCUAUCUCAAAAAACUGAACUGUAUCCAUCCAAGGAGGCUUAUUUAAGAAUCAAUUGAGAUACUUUUAUCACAGUCACAGCUGAAGUUAGAAGCAACUUAGCAAGGAUAGAUGUUGUCACAAAUGACAUGACCUUGGUAGGCUAUGAAGGGGAUUCUUCAUGGGGUGGGGGGAGGCUUCUUGAUUAUUGGUAAUUUUCAAGGUGCUAGCCAUCUGAAGGUUUUAGUUAGUUUCACUUCACAUUCCUGCAUAUUAACUUGUCAAAAGAAAAUUGCUAUUGGAUUUUGCUCACUGCCUUGUGGAUGGAUUUGUGAUGCUCUCCAUGAUGAGAACUUAGAACAUCUUGAUAUAGAGUUGGUCAGUCAGAAAUUUACUAUCAUAGUCGUAGAACAUUGAUGUCAUAGUC
rnacentral:lncRNA from 1 species